UGUACCGAAUUUUUAAUAUAGAAAUUAGUGUAAAUAAAAAUAGUGUUAUGAGAUGGGCUAAGGUGUAAUUGUGCAAAUGAGAGGGGCUAAGGUGUAAUGGUGCAAGUAAUUGAGUUUACUUGUUGGGCAAGUUUCCUAUGUACCUAUGUAAUUGAGUUAACUUGUUGGGCAAGUUUCCUAUGUAAUUGAGUGAAUCCUUGACCUUUUACUCCAAACCGUAGGAGAGAGAGAUGGUGGGUUUUCUCUCUUUUUCUCUUUGACUUUAUGACCUCUCUUUCUCUUUGGUUCUCUUUACCAAAGAGAGGAUUAGAGAAGAAAGAAAAAUUGGAAUUUGCUUGGUGGUGAAGCAAGCUUGGUGGAGAAGAAGGCUUGGAAUUGAGCUACUUUCUUCAUCUUCUUCAUCACUUGGAUUAGAGAAGAAAGCUUGUUUAAGGUAAAACCGACGCGGAGGAUCAUUCGGAUUGAGAUUCCGUUGAGCCGGUGGUGGUCAAAGUGAAGAAAAUUCUAUUUUUGCUUCAUUUGUCGCAGUUGGAAGAAAACAACGGCCAUAAAUCGCGCUGCUAGGCUACUCGCUUCGUGUCGACAUCACGAGAGCCUAGUUCGAGCGCGUGUGUCGAGGAUCGCGGCAAGGGCGUCGCGCAGUAGAUAGAGUGGACCACCGGCGUUAGCUCACUACCCUCGAGUAUAAAAAGAAAAGAAUGAUAUGUAAAACCCUUUUGUGAAGAAAUGUAAUGUAUUUGAG